rnacentral:rRNA from 1 species
CUGGCGGCAUGCCUUACACAUGCAAGUCGAACGGCAGCGCGGGGCAACCUGGCGGCGAGUGGCGAACGGGUGAGUAAUAUAUCGGAACGUACCCAAGAGUGGGGGAUAACGCAGCGAAAGUUGCGCUAAUACCGCAUACGAUCUAAGGAUGAAAGCAGGGGACCGCAAGGCCUUGUGCUCCUGGAGCGGCCGAUAUCUGAUUAGCUAGUUGGUGGGGUAAAGGCCUACCAAGGCGAGGAUCCGUAGCUGGUCUGAGAGGACGACCAGCCACACUGGGACUGAGACACGGCCCAGACUCCUACGGGAGGCAGCAGUGGGGAAUAUUGGACAAUGGGGGCAACCCUGAUCCAGCAAUGCCGCGUGUGUGAAGAAGGCCUGCGGGUUGUAAAGCACUUUCGGCGGGGAGGAAGGGUUUUUGAGAGAAUAUCUUAGGAACUUUGACGUUACCCGCAUAAGAAGCACCGGCUAACUCUGUGCCAGCAGCCGCGGUAAUACAGAGGGUGCGAGCGUUAAUCGGAAUUACUGGGCGUAAAGGGCGCGUAGGUGGUUAAUUAAGUCAGAUGUGAAAUCCCCGGGCUUAACCUGGGAAUGGCAUAUGAAACUGAUUAGCUAGAGUUUGGGAGAGGGAAGUGGAAUUUCAGGUGUAGCGGUGAAAUGCGUAGAUAUCUGAAGGAACACCAGUGGCGAAGGCGACUUCCUGGCCCGAUACUGACACUGAGGCGCGAAAGCGUGGGGAGCAAA